rnacentral:rRNA from 1 species
AACGCGAAGAACCUUACCUGGGCUCGAACGGCUGGUUAACGAUCGUGGAAACACGGUUACUCCGCAAGGGGAUCCAGUCGAGGUGCUGCAUGGCUGUCGUCAGCUCGUGUCGUGAGAUGUUGGGUUAAGUCCCGCAACGAGCGCAACCCUUGUCCUGUGUUGCCAUGCCGAAAGGCGGAACUCGCAGGAGACCGCCAGCGAUAAGCUGGAGGAAGGUGGGGAUGACGUCAAGUCCUCAUGGCCUUUAUGUCCAGGGCUACACACGUGCUACAAUGGCCGGUACAAAGCGCUGCUAAGUCGCAAGACGGAGCCAAUCGCAAAAAACCGGUCUCAGUUCGGAUUGCAGGCUGCAACUCGCCUGCAUGAAGCUGGAAUCGCUAGUAAUGGCGGAUCAGAACGCCGCCGUGAAUACGUUCCCGGGCCUUGUA